AUAACCCCGGGAAACUGGGGAUAAUACCCCAUAGACUAUAGAUGCUGGAAUGCUUUGUAGUUGAAAGGUCCGCCGCCAUAGGAUGGGUCUGCGGCCGAUUAGGUUGUUGUUGGGGUAACGGCCCAACAAGCCUGUAAUCGGUACGGGUUGUGGGAGCAAGAGCCCGGAGAUGGAUUCUGAGACACGAAUCCAGGCCCUACGGGGCGCAGCAGGCGCGAAAACUUUACAAUGCGGGAAACCGUGAUAAGGGAACUCCGAGUGCCCGUAAAAUCGGGCUGUCCAUCUGUUUAAAUAACAGGUGAAGAAAGGGCCGGGCAAGACCGGUGCCAGCCGCCGCGGUAAUACCGGCGGCUCGAGUGGUGGCCACUAUUACUGGGCUUAAAGCGUUCGUAGCUGGUCUGUUAAGUCUCUGGGGAAAUCUACUGGCUUAACCAAUAGGCGUCUCAGGGAUACUGGCAGACUAGGGACCGGGAGAGGUGAGAGGUACUCCAGGGGUAGGAGUGAAAUCCUGUAAUCCUUGGGGGACCACCUGUGGCGAAGGCGUCUCACCAGAACGGCUCCGACAGUGAGGGACGAAAGCUGGGGGAGCAAACCGGAUUAGAUACCCGGGUAGUCCCAGCCGUCCCUGGCGCGUUAGGUGUAUCGGUGACCACGAGUCACCGACGUGCCGAAGAGAAAUCGUGAAACGUGCCGCCUGGGAAGU
rnacentral:rRNA from 1 species